GUCGAGCGGAAUGACGAGAGCUUGCUCUCUGAUUUUAGCGGCGGACGGGUGAGUAACACGUGGGCAACCUGCCCUACAGAUGGGGAUAACUCCGGGAAACCGGGGCUAAUACCGAAUAAUCAGUUUGUCCGCAUGGACAAACUCUGAAAGACGGUUUCGGCUGUCACUGUAGGAUGGGCCCGCGGCGCAUUAGCUAGUUGGUGGGGUAAUGGCCUACCAAGGCAACGAUGCGUAGCCGACCUGAGAGGGUGAUCGGCCACACUGGGACUGAGACACGGCCCAGACUCCUACGGGAGGCAGCAGUAGGGAAUCUUCCACAAUGGACGAAAGUCUGAUGGAGCAAUGCCGCGUGAGCGAAGAAGGUUUUCGGAUCGUAAAGCUCUAUUGUAAGGGAAGAACACGUACGGGAGUAACUGCCCGUGCCAUGACGGUACCUUAUUAGAAAGCCACGGCUAACUACGUGCCAGCAGCCGCGGUAAUACGUAGGUGGCGAGCGUUGUCCGGAAUUAUUGGGCGUAAAGCGCGCGCAGGCGGUUCUUUAAGUCUGAUGUGAAAGCCCACGGCUCAACCGUGGAGGGUCAUUGGAAACUGGAGAACUUGAGUACAGAAGAGGAAAGCGGAAUUCCACGUGUAGCGGUGAAAUGCGUAGAGAUGUGGAGGAACACCAGUGGCGAA
rnacentral:rRNA from 1 species